AAAGUGGAGCAAUCCAUGAGUAGAGUGGCAAACGGGUGAGUNACACGUGGGUGACCUGCCUUCGAGCGGGGGAUAACGUCCCGAAAGGGACGCUAAUACCGCAUGACAUCCUGUCUUUUAACAGAUGGAGAUCAAAGCCGGGGAUCGCAAGACCUGGCACUCGAAGAGGGGCCCGCGCCUGAUUAGCUAGUUGGUGAGGUAAUGGCUCACCAAGGCAACGAUCAGUAUCCGGCCUGAGAGGGCGGACGGACACACUGGGACUGAGACACGGCCCAGACUCCUACGGGAGGCAGCAGUGGGGAAUUGUUCGCAAUGGGCGCAAGCCUGACGACGCAACGCCGCGUGGAGGAUGAAGAUCUUCGGGUCGUAAACUCCUUUCGAUCGAGAUGAAUGGCCUCCGGGUGAACAAUCCGGAGGAAUGACAGUACCGAGAGAAGAAGCCCCGGCUAACUCCGUGCCAGCAGCCGCGGUAAUACGGGGGGGGCAAGCGUUGUUCGGAAUUACUGGGCGUAAAGGGCUUGUAGGUGGCCAACUAAGUCAGACGUGAAAUCCCUCGGCUUAACCGGGGAACUGCGUCUGAUACUGGAUGGCUUGAGUGUGGGAGAGGGAUGCGGAAUUCCAGGUGUAGCGGUGAAAUGCGUAGAUAUCUGGAGGAACACCGGUGGCGAAGGCGGCAUCCUGGACCAUUACUGACACUGAAAAGCGAAAGCCAGGGGAGCAAACGGGAUUAGAUACCCCGGUAGUCCUGGCCCUAAACGAUGAAUGCUUGGUGUGGCGGGUAUCGAUCCCUGCCGUGCCGAAGCU
rnacentral:rRNA from 1 species